CACCCAGCGAACAGUCCGCCGGUGGGCGGCUGUGUGAGUCGGCCGGCGGGCCGGCAGGCCGGCGGCGCGGAGACGCGGGAAGUUAAUGGGGGUCGCCUCGAUCUCAGCCUCAGUCGGUAGCACAGCUUCGGACACGCCAGCAGAGAUGGCGCCCUGGGUGCGGACGAUGGGGGAGAAGCUGAAGCAGAGGCUGAGGCUAGACGUGGGACGCGAGAUCUGCCGCCAGUACCCACUGUUCUGCUUCCUGCUGCUCUGCCUUAGCGCCGCCUCCUUGCUCCUCAACAGGUAUCUUCAUGUUUUAAUGAUCUUCUGGUCAUUUGUUGCUGGAGUUGUCACAUUCUACUGCUCAUUAGGACCUGAUUCUCUCUUACCAAAUAUAUUCUUCACAAUAAAAUACAAACCCAAGCAGUUAGGACUUCAAGAAUUAUUUCCUCAAGGUCGUAGCUGUGCUGUUUGUGGUAAAGUGAAAUGUAAACGACAUAGGCCUUCCUUGCUACUUGAAAACUACCAGCCAUGGCUAGACCUGAAAAUUUCUUCCAAGGUCGAUGCUUCUCUCUCAGAGGUUCUUGAAUUAGUGUUGGAAAACUUUGUUUAUCCGUGGUACAGGGAUGUAACAGAUGAUGAGUCCUUUGUUGAUGAACUGAGGAUUACAUUACGGUUUUUUGCAUCUGUUCUAAUUCGAAGGAUUCACAAGGUGGAUAUUCCAUCUAUUAUAACCAAGAAACUAUUAAAAGCAGCAAUGAAGCAUAUAGAAGUGAUAGUUAAAGCCAGUCAGAAAGUUGAAAAUACAGAGUUUUUACAGCAAGCUGCUUUAGAAGAAUAUGGUCCAGAGCUUCAUGUGGCCUUGAGGAGUCGAAGAGAUGAAUUACACUAUUUAAGGAAACUUACCGAACUACUUUUUCCUUACGUUUUGCCUCCUAAAGCAACAGAUUGCAGAUCCCUGACCUUACUUUUGAGAGAGAUCCUCUCUGGUUCGGUGUUCCUUCCUUCUUUGGAUUUCCUAGCUGAUCCAGAUACUGUGAAUCAUUUGCUUAUCAUCUUCAUAGUUGACAGUCCACCUGAAAAAGCAACCGAACCGCCUUCCCCUUUGGUUCCAUUCUUGCAGAAAUUUGCAGAACCUAGAAAUAAAAAGCCAUCUGUGCUGAAGUUGGAAUUGAAGCAAAUCAGAGAGCAACAAGAUCUCUUAUUUCGUUUUAUGAACUUUCUGAAACAAGAAGGAGCAGUACACGUGUUGCAAAUUUGUCUGACUGUGGAGGAAUUCAAUGAUAGAAUUUUGAGACCAGAGUUAUCAAACGAUGAAAUGCUAUCUCUUCAUGAGGAGUUGCAGAAGAUUUAUAAAACAUACUGUUUGGAUGAAAGUGUUGACAAAAUUCGAUUUGAUCCCUUCAUUGUAGAAGAGAUUCAAAAAAUUGCUGAAGGCCCAUAUAUAGAUGUUGUGAAACUUCAAACUAUGAGAUGUCUUUUCGAAGCAUAUGAACAUGUACUUUCUCUGUUGGAGAAUGUGUUUACUCCUAUGUUCUGCCACAGUGAUGAGUAUUUCAGACAACUUUUAAGAGGCGCAGAAUCACCAACACGCAAUUCAAAAUUCAACAGAGGUAGCCAAAGUUUGGAUGAUUUUCGGAGCACACAGAAAAGAGGAGAAUCAUUUGGAAUCAGCAGAAUAGGUAGCAAAAUUAAAGGAGUGUUCAAGAGCACCACCAUGGAGGGAGCUAUGUUGCCUAAUUAUGGUUUAGCUGAAAGUGAAGAUGACUUUAUUGAAGAAGGUAUUGUUGUAAUGGAAGAUGAUUCUCCAGUGGAAGCUGUGAGCACACCUAAUACUCCCCGAAACCUUGCUGCAUGGAAAAUUAGCAUUCCAUAUGUAGAUUUUUUUGAAGAUCCCUCCUCUGAAAGGAGGGAGAAAAAGGAGAGAAUACCUGUGUUUUGUAUUGAUGUUGAAAGGAAUGAUAGAAGAGCAGUUGGGCAUGAGCCUGAACAUUGGUCUGUUUAUAGAAGAUAUCUUGAAUUCUAUGUACUUGAAUCAAAACUAACAGAAUUUCAUGGCACAUUUCCUGAUGCCCAGCUUCCUUCCAAGAGAAUCAUUGGCCCCAAAAAUUAUGAAUUCUUAAAGUCGAAGAGAGAAGAAUUUCAAGAAUAUCUACAGAAACUUCUACAGCAUCCAGAACUGAGUAAUAGUCAACUUCUGGCAGAUUUUCUCUCCCCCAAUGGUGGAGAAACACAGUUUUUGGAUAAGAUACUACCAGAUGUAAACCUUGGAAAAAUUAUAAAGUCUGUUCCUGGAAAACUAAUGAAAGAGAAAGGUCAGCAUUUGGAACCUUUCAUCAUGAAUUUCAUUAAUUCUUGUGAAUCUCCAAAGCCUAAACCAAGUAAACCAGAACUGACAAUUCUCAGCCCUACUUCAGAAAACAACAAGAAGCUAUUCAAUGAUCUGUUUAAGAAUAAUGCAAACCGUGCUGAGAAUACAGAAAGAAAGCAAAAUCAGAAUUAUUUUAUGGAGAUGAUGACUGUAGAAGGAGUUUAUGAUUACCUGAUGUAUGUAGGACGAGUGGUUUUCCAAGUUCCUGACUGGCUUCAUCAUCUCCUAAUGGGAACUCGAAUACUCUUUAAAAACACCUUAGAAAUGUAUACUGACUACUAUCUUCACUGUAAACUAGAACAGCUAUUUCAGGAGCACCGUUUGGUCUCACUUAUAACACUUUUCAGAGAUGCUGUAUUCUGUGAAAAUAGUGAACCUCGCUCUCUCCAAGAUAAGCAAAAACGAGCAAAACAGACUUUUGAAGAAAUGAUGAAUUACCUUCCAGACCUGAUCGUCAAGUGUAUUGGUGAAGAAGCCAAGUAUGAAAGCAUCAGACUUCUAUUUGAUGGCUUACAGCAGCCAGUUCUCAACAAGCAGCUGACUUAUGUUUUAUUGGACAUUGUGAUACAAGAACUGUUUCCAGAGCUGAAUAAGAUGAAAUAACUACUCUUCAAGGUUGUGGUAUAGCAAUGUCAGUUUCAUAGAGUAGAAGAAUCCAGGUACAAAAGGAAGUUACCUCUGUGACAUCCUGGAUGUAAACAUUUGGAUUUGGGAUAGAAUAACCAGUUGAAAUUUCUUCUGUGUUAGUGUAAUAGAUACUGUUUUUUUCUUUUAACUUUUGUAUAUUCUUGUAUAUAUCAUGUAAUUCAGUGUCUGAAAUUUUGAUUUUUUUUGUCUUAAUAAAGACUAACAUACUUGAUAAUGAUUAAAAGUGAUUGGGUUUCAUAGCCUUUCAUUUUACACCUGUUAUUCAAAUUUUAUUAGAACAUAUAUUACUUGUUAUUGUCAUUUUUUAAAGAGAUAAUUUAUAAUCCCCUUAGAGCAAACAGAUAAGACUGAUAACCUUUUUUAUUGUAUCACCUUGAAAAUAAUUAUGCAAGGUCUGAUUUGCUUUCUCAUUUAGAAUUCAUACAUUUUAGUAGAUCUAUUUUCCCGUUUUCCUUUGUUUUCUACAUAGCUAACUGUGUGUCUAUAAAGAAGACAUCCUUUAUGAGUUUUUGAGAACAAAGGACUUCUUACUCUUGCUGGAUUAUUGACGGGUUAUAGCCCUCAGGUGUGAAAACUGAGUAUUUACAAAUAUUUGUGAUUGUGUGGUUACAGCUACAUUUUACUGAAUGUAUGUAAUUAUAUUUCAAAAGCUUUUAUAAGCAAUUUAGUCAAGUAGAUUUUUGGUUUAUGUUAUCAGUUGUCUCUCCAAAAGAAAAAUAUGGAAUUAAUAGUAUCUCUUAAAAAAAGUUAAUUUAAAUGAUUAUUUUUCAAGAUUCAGUGUUUGGAAUUCUACUUACAAUUCCUUACCAUUUUAUGCUUUUCUUCUUGAAAAAAAUUUGUCUUUCAUGAUUGAGCAUUUGUGUUUGGUUAUUUGUUGUACUGUUCAUUCAGAAUAUAUUUUUUGAGUUUCGGCCAUGUAUUAGGCACUCUAAAUUGUGGGCACUCUAAAUAUAAUUUGGAAAACUA